GACGAAGGGGGCUAGCGUUGUUCGGAAUUACUGGGCGUAAAGGGCUCGUAGGCGGCCAACUAAGUCAGACGUGAAAUCCCUCGGCUUAACCGGGGAACUGCGUCUGAUACUGGAUGGCUUGAGAUUGGGAGAGGGAUGCGGAAUUCCAGGUGUAGCGGUGAAAUGCGUAGAUAUCUGGAGGAACACCGGUGGCGAAGGCGGCAUCCUGGACCAACACUGACGCUGAGUGAGCGAAAGCCAGGGGAGCAAACGGG
rnacentral:rRNA from 1 species